AUUGAACGCUGGCGGCAGGCUUAACACAUGCAAGUCGAACGAGUGGCGGACUGGUGAGUAAUGCUUGGGAAUCUGGCUUAUGGAGGGGGAUAACGACGGGAAACUGUCGCUAAUACCGCAUACCAUCAGAUCUGCCCAUAUGGGAUUAGCUUGUGGGGGGGGUAAUGGCUCACCUAGGCGACGAUCCCUAGCUGGUCUGAGAGGAUGACCAGCGACACUGGAACUGAGACACGGCCCAGACUCCUACGGGAGGCAGAAGUGGGGAAUAUUGCACAAUGGGGGAAAGCCUGAUGCAGCCAUGCCGCGUGUGUGAAGAAGGCCUUCGGGUUGUAAAGCACUUUCAGCGGGGAGGCGGGAGAAGAAGAAGAAGCACCGGCUAACUCCGUGCCAGCAGACGCGGUAAUAG
rnacentral:rRNA from 1 species